GCUGUAGAAAGGCCCCUCAAC
rnacentral:miRNA from 1 species